rnacentral:tRNA from 1 species
GACGCUGUAGCUCAGCUGGUUAGAGCACCUGCCUGUCACGCAGGGGGUCACGGGUUCGAGUCCCGUCAGUGUCGCCA